AUCGGUGGAUUUUUCGCUUUGUUCUUGCUCCAUUUCUUCCUUUUCUCUCUGUCGUUGUUCCUGUCGGACGAGGUCGCUUCGGAGCUCGUGUCGACGUACUCGCGGUGCCUGAGCGGCCUUUUGAAACACAGUCAACGAAUUAACUGCGGGAACCGAGUCAAGAGCCUGCCGAUCGGCGAUGGCCGACGGAAGAAGACGGAGAAACGGAAAAAGGAACCGUAGUUUCGACAAGAAAUUCACAGAUACUGAACCAUUUCUUCUUCUUGCAUUCCUCGGGAGACGAACUCUUCAAGUCACUGUCGUCUUCCGGUCGGCUCGAGGAUGCCAGAUCCUGAUUCGUGCAGGUCUUGCAGGGGCAAUUCAAUUUCAGGGUCUGUAGGAUCGACAGGACUCGUGGAUCGUUGACGUCGUCGGCGAGGGCCGCGGAGUCGUCGGUCGACGACUGUGCCCGGAAGCCGCUCGCCUCUGUUCCUGAAGUUUUCUCGUCGUCCCAGACUAUUCUGAACAAGUCGCGUUCUCUCCAAACGAACCUCCUCGAGCUGAAUUUCGCCCUGAGCUUGAUCAGACUUCUCCGCUGCUCCCUUCUCUGCUAGCUCGACGCUGUUGGUAUCGAACACUUAGUCGAUUCACAUUUCAUAAGCUACAGCGGCGAAAACUGGCAUCCCCGAAUUUACGAAUAAAAUGACAACGGAAACUUGGAAAAGUUCAACGAACGAACUAACUUGUUCUUCAGGUCGCAGCCAGGAGGACACUUGGAAUUCGUGCAGUCUUUCAGUUUCCUGUUGGUCGUCGUUCUCUUACCCUGUCGAGCACGAAACAUCGCGUGAUCAUAAAUCAAAUCGCGGGAA